rnacentral:lncRNA from 1 species
AGGUGGUGAAACAGAAAGAUUGACAGAUAGAACACAGGAAAAAGGUGGUGGUUUUAUUGGUUUAAAGUUCAUAAGGCAAAGGGUACAUGAUGAUGAUGAUGAUGAUAAUAAUAAUUCUCAUACCUACAAAUAUUCACAUAUUGGUACUGGGUGUGGUUAAAAUAACACAGUAAAAUGAUGAUGGGUAGCAAACUCAAAUCCCUUACAAAAGAUCUCAUGUGCCUCCUCCUCUCUCGCAGAAAACAACAGAUCAAGAUCUCUUCUUUACAUACCAACUUCAUCCAGCAGAGUACAGAAUAUAUAAGCUGACGAUGACCGCCACGAUGGCAAGUUUCGACGCAGGAUUCAACCUCGCAGGCAAAAGGCUUUGGUUCUCUCCACUGCAAAAAAAGAACUUCCGGGAACCAGCUCCUUCACAUUCUUCGACUUCCUUCUGCAACUAACUUAUCUGCAUAUUUGUCAAGAACAAAGCUAGAUCAGUUAUGCAUUCAAUGCAGAAAUUCGUAUGCAACUUCACACAAUUACUAGCAAAUGCAAUAGAAAAACACAUUGAAGAUAGCCAAAGUACAGAUUCAUAAACUCAAAAUGGCAUGCCGUCCCUUGCCCCUCAUCAACCAGAACGAUUGGAGACCCUUAAGAGGAAUAGAAGCAUCAAACAUUAGGAAACUAAAGCAUUGGUGCACAUCAUUCACCAUUGAUGUAAUUAAUUCACUGUAAGGAGGGAGGAAGCAUUGACCUCACAGCUGCCAUGAAUGGUGUUGGCAGGGCAAGUUUCAAAAAGAGUUUAUCUCCAAGGAGGAAGUCCUCCUUCAGCUGCCAUGAAUGGUGUUGGCAGGGCAAGUUUCAAAAAGAGUUCAUCUCCAAGCAGUAAGUCCUCCUUUUGACAAGCAUCUUAGCAGCAGUACCGUACGGUUCCUCGAAAGCAGUGGAAACCCAGGAAAGAUCGCACACUUCCUUCUUAGCGGAAGUCUGCUCGCUAGGCCUAAUAACAACCAGAACAAAGCAGUGGAAACCCAGGAAAGAUCGCACACUUCCUUCUUAGCGGAAGUCUGCUCGCUAGGCCUAAUAGCAACAAGAGUAGCGCCUUUCAACACAACCCCAUUGGGAAGCUCCAAAUGAGGAGCAUACCACAGACGCAUAUUCAAAGCAGGAACUAAAGUCCUCUUGGAAGCAGAGGAAGCCGACAAUGGCUUCACCCUAAGCUCCUC